rnacentral:rRNA from 1 species
CAACCUGAGAGUUUGAUCCUGGCUCAGAGCGAACGCUGGCGGCAGGCCUAAUACAUGCAAGUCGAGCGCACCUUCGGGUGAGCGGCGGACGGGUGAGUAACGCGUGGGAAUAUGCCCUAUGGUGCGGAACAACUGAGGGAAACUUCAGCUAAUACCGCAUGUGCCCUACGGGGGAAAGAUUUAUCGCCAUAGGAGUAGCCCGCGUUGGAUUAGUUUGUUGGUGAGGUAAUGGCUCACCAAGACUACGAUCCAUAGCUGGUCUGAGAGGAUGAUCAGCCACACUGGGACUGAGACACGGCCCAGACUCCUACGGGAGGCAGCAGUAGGGAAUCUUGCGCAAUGGGCGAAAGCCUGACGCAGCCAUGCCGCGUGAAUGAUGAAGG